AAAAGUGGGUGAAGGCGAAGAGAAAGCAGAGUUGUAGGACAAAGGUAAACUAGGCAAUGUAAGAGGCGACUGUUAAUGUGUAACACGGAGCUAACAGGAGGAGACAGCAGCACCUCCAGAAACAACUAUGAGAAAAUCAGACCACUCGCCGUACAUAUGACAACCCUUGUGUGCAGCCCGACCUCUAUGAACCAAAGAAUGUGAUUUCAGGUCAAGCAGCUCAGUCCUCUCUACUGCUCUGUUAACACGGGCGUGGCUCAAGCAGACUCAAUCAAUUCUCAAAAGGCUCCACCCACGGGAGCUGUGAACACACCACUGCCAACUACAAGAAGCAUUGCGGUGGGUACCACACUGAUAAUAGAAACAAAGCACCUUCCUGACAAAGUGCAUGACAAAGUGUCCUGGAAUAUCUAAAUAUUUUUAGUAGGGACUUGUAGUAGUAGGAAUUGUUGUUCAAAUCUCGUGCAAACUAUGGCAGAUGCUGCUUUGAUCAUAUUCUUCCUUGCCUACCAGCUUCUUGUACUCCCAAGUGCAGGGAUGAGUUUUACAUACCAAACACGAGGUUUAUAGGUCAGUGUGGUUGCAGUCACUUCAAAUCCACCUUGUCCAUUACGGUGUCAUAUGAUUUCCCCGUUAGCGGAAUCGCGGAAUUGGCCAAUGAAAACGGAAUCUACGAAUAAUCGCGAAAUCUCGCAGAACUUAACAUAUUAUGAAUGAAGUGCUGUUAUCGUGAGGAAAAGGAACGCUUUUGUGGGAAAGUAUUUCCCCCCGCAGACCACUCAUUUGUGGCGGAAACUCCUCAAACACUAACCCACCCCCUCCCAAACUAAAUAUGUCGAAGGAGCCACCUGAAACACCGGCUAAGUCAGAGAGGAAAAACUUGGAAACUCAUCUCAGUCACCAAGCGUUAGUGGAAGCUGGCUGGGUUAGCUUAUUAUCGCAGAGCAUGCUAGUGCGGCUGUGUGUGUGCGACUGAGGCUGCGUGAGUGCGUUUACACCGUCAAGUGAUUGGAAUUGCAUCGAGGACUCCGUCUUACUCAACCACAAGCACAAGCAUUACAGUUUGUUGAGGAUUUUGUAGUAUUAUGUGCAGAGCAAAGGUAGAUCUGCUUCUGAAAUAUUGAAAAAAAUUGUCAAAUGAUGUAUUGCAUCAAUAAAUGCAAGGAUUUUUGCAUUUCAUUGACAGACAUUUUAGUCACUGCCACAAAAAGCACACACUUUGGUGGUAAAAUAAGUGUAUAAAUAACGAAAUUCUGAAAAAUGAAAUCAGAAAAAAAUUAAUUUGGGAAAAAAUAAAAACAGGCUCGACAUUGCAAUUGGCGAAGUGAGCACUUACUCGCUUCGUCGGCGUGCCUCCAUCCCGUCGGGCAGGAACAGUUUGACUGUUGACACGAUGCAGCCAUGUGUGACUGGAGACACAGAACAGCAACAAACAUGUUACUACUUAACGUUAACAUACUGCUUGUUAAAGCUGACAUUUUUUUUCUUGGAUACUCAUAAUGGGUGCGUCACAGGUUUGUGUUCGGCUCUACAGGAAAAUAUUUGUUUGCAUAUUAACCUGUGAUAGAAGAAACCUUGAAGAAUGAGGUUAACAUGCAGGAUGAAUUUGUUCUGGAACGCUAAUUUGAAAGGUUUGGUAGUGGAGCUGAAAAUCUGACCUAAAUGUCCACUCCAUAUUGUGUGUGUGUGUGUGUGUGUGUGUGUGUGUGUGUGUGUAUGACACCACUUUUGAGGUGAGCUCCAAGGUACCCUUAAGGGUUAUUGAAGUGUGAUGAUUCAAAUGCUGCCCAUGUGCAUGAGCACAUAACGUCAAGUGAGGUCAGACUGGUUUUAACAAACUUUCCAUAUUCACAUUUAGCAUAUUUCUAAUACUAAUUUCUUAACGUACACUCACACAUGCACAUCAUUCGAUACAGCUGCACAAUAUAAAAUGAUUUAAUACUUUAUUUAGCAACAUCAGUGUUGAACUAUUAGAAACAGUAUGUAAGUCAAUAUACAGUACAUGAUAUAAUGUGACAUGGCAGAGUAUUUUAUUGCACCUCGUUCGAUGCGAGGGGGCGCUUAAUGUGUAUCCUACAUGUACCUUUGCGUGUGUUCUCAGUGACAUCGACGCCAAACUGAAUGAUGUCUCCAGAGAGGACCUCGCACGGUGGACUCUCCUCUGAGCCGCGACUCAACCUCUGGCUGUUGAUGAAUGUGCCAUUGCUGCUUUUUGUGUCCUGCAGGUAGAACUGAAACAGAAGCAAAAACAUACACAUGAUUACACAACUGCUGAUUCUGUCAUCAAGAGUAAGCAAUGUACUAGUGAGAAGAUAUUAGUGUAAAAAUGAACGUGCAUCUAUAGCUGUUGGCCCCUGAAGGAAAUUAAACACAGUCUUUAGGAUUAAAAAUAAC